CUAAUACUCGCACAGACACAACUGCUUGCCGCCGGCCCACCUCAAAGCCGUUGCGGCCGCGUCUCCGACCCACGAGCACUCCGGCGGCGACUCCAACCAACCUCGUAUCCUCACGCAGCGGCACCGUCCCGGAAGAUGCCCCCGGUGCCUGCCGCGGCGUCAUCGAGCGUCCCCAGCGUGCCCCCGGAGAGAACCCCUACGGGGGGCACGGCGUCGCCGGGCAACUCUAUGGCGCCCCUGGAGAGCACCCCUACGGCUACGGAGGCCGCGGCGUCGCCGGGCAACUCUGUGGUGCCCCCGGAGAGCAACCCUACGGCGAGCCCCCCGCCCUCUGUCACCGAGCCAGAGCGGCUUUCUUUAUCCAUCCAAGAUGAAUCCACAACUCCCCUGCUUUCGGUGGACGUCCACGACCUGCACAAGCAUGCCAUCGAGUUCUUGGAGGAAUCGAAAGGAUACCCUGUCCUCGCGGAUCCUGCCGCCGGGUUCGCCAAGCUACUGGAGCUGUUCGCCGCGGCCGAGUCAAAGGCCAUGUAUGCGGGAGAUCUGAAGGCGGCCGCCUCCAUCUUGAGCAAAGCUGCCACCGAUGGCAAACUUCCGGUGAAUCUCGCGGGCACCGCGAAGAGGCUGGCAUCUGAGGCGAUGAAACUCGCGUCCGAGGUGGAGACCAGGCGUAUUUUUUUUCUCUUUGGCGAGGAUUCGCUCGUGCUGCUGCCUCUCGGCGUCCCAGAUAGCGCGCUGCUGGUCAUGGUGCUGCACUGAGGAGUUGCCCCUCCAUCGCAGAGACCUUGAUCGACAGGCCUUAUUUGUUGACAAGCUCUCCGCGCUCUACUGCUUAUCGAUGCCGGCUUCGCUUGGCCUCCUUCCAUACUUGCCUGCUACGAUUCCCAAGGACCAGUCUGUGCUCAUGGCGUAUAUCUAUGGUCUGAUUUUCUCAUCGGCCUCCAUCGGGCUAGUCCUGAGCCUUCACCCGAUGAAGCGCUUUGACGUGGAGCUAGCACGUUUUGUUAGCAGGCUCAGUUUUGUGGGUCUGUCAGUGCUCGUUCUCAUAUUACGCAUUGUCGCCGGGUAACUACGCUAUGCUUGGAAUUUGUUCAGGGAUACUCGCUGCUGGCCAUGGAUAUGCAUGGAUUAGGAGCUGUUGCAGCAGAGAAGAGGACCCUUCAGACGCGCCAGAGGAAGUUUCAUCUGAUCACCGCAGUGAAUGAGGCCGCGGGAUCGACACUCCUUUCUUCCUACCUGCAGCUGAAAGAUUGGUGUUCGUCACAUUGUAAAUUUGAGCAAUUCUCUAGCACUUCUGUUUUGACUCCUGUGUUGUGCUGGAUCACAAGUUAUGAAUCUGUAGAUGCAUGAUGUCCAACUUGGAACCACAAGAGGACCCUUCAGACGCACCAGAGGAAGUUCCAUCUGAUCACCGCAGUGAAUGAGGCCGCGGGAUCGACACUCCUUUCCUCCUACCUGCAGCUGAAAGAUUGGUGUUUGUCAGAUUGUAAAUUUGAGCAAUUCUCUAGCACUUCUGUUUUUGGACUCCUGUGUUGUGCUGGAUCACAAGUUAUGAAUCUGUAGAUGCAUGAUGUCCAACUUGGAACCACAAGAAUUUGUUUCCUUUUGGAUGAUUACAGAAUGCAAACUGUUAGUACAA